UGCAGAUGGCAAUAAACUGUGUAGGAGUUCAUGAUUGCAAUAGAAUAAAAUCGACCAAGUCUGAAGUCAGCAGCCCCUUCAAUGAAUGCAGCAGUGUGACAGCCAACAAUCAAAAGUUACAAGAUAUCGAGGAAAUGCAGAAGGCAAAAAACUGCGUAGGAGAUCAUUAAUACAAAAGUAUUAUAUAAACCAAACCUGAUGUUGCCAGCUCCUUCAAUGAAUGCAGCAGUGUGACAGCCAGCAAUCAAAAGUAACAAGAUGUCGAGGAAAUGCAGAAGGCAAAAAACUGCGUAGGAGAUUAUUAAUACAAUAGUAUUAUAUCAACCAAGCCUGAUGUCGGUAGCUUCUUCAAUGAAUGCAGCAGUGUGAGAGCCAGCAAUCAAUAGUGACAAGAAUCUAGGAAAUACAGAAGGCAAAGAAGCAGAUGUCAUCAAGAAGAUCUUUGUUCCUGCAAUGUUUCCGCAGACGAUACAUCCAACAGAGCGAAGUGGAAGG